UAUUUUGUGAUUAAUCUUUUGCCACCUGA
rnacentral:piRNA from 1 species